UUAAGCGACUAAGCGUACACGGUGGAUGCCCUGGCAGUCAGAGGCGAUGAAGGACGUGCUAAUCUGCGAAAAGCGUCGGUAAGGUGAUAUGAACCGUUACAGCCGGCGAUGUCCGAAUGGGGAAACCCAGUGUGAUUCGUCACACUAUCGUUAACUGAAUACAUAGGUUAACGAGGCGAACCGGGGGAACUGAAACAUCUAAGUACCCCGAGGAAAAGAAAUCAACCGAGAUUCCCCCAGUAGCGGCGAGCGAACGGGGAGCAGCCCAGAGUCUGAAUCAGCUUGUGUGUUAGUGGAACGGUCUGGAAAGUCCGACGGUACAGGGUGAUAGUCCCGUACACCAAAAUGCACAGGUUGUGAACUCGAAGAGUAGGGCGGGACACGUGGUAUCCUGUCUGAAUAUGGGGGGACCAUCCUCCAAGGCUAAAUACUCCUGACUGACCGAUAGUGAACCAGUACCGUGAGGGAAAGGCGAAAAGAACCCCGGCGAGGGGAGUGAAAAAGAACCUGAAACCGUGUACGUACAAGCAGUGGGAGCACCUUUAUGGUGUGACUGCGUACCUUUUGUAUAAUGGGUCAGCGACUUAUAUUCUGUAGCAAGGUUAACCGUAUAGGGGAGCCGCAGGGAAACCGAGUCUUAACUGGGCGUUAAGUUGCAGGGUAUAGACCCGAAACCCGGUGAUCUAGCCAUGGGCAGGUUGAAGGUUGGGUAACACUAACUGGAGGACCGAACCGACUAAUGUUGAAAAAUUAGCGGAUGACUUGUGGCUGGGGGUGAAAGGCCAAUCAAACCGGGAGAUAGCUGGUUCUCCCCGAAAGCUAUUUAGGUAGCGCCUCGUGAAUUCAUCUUCGGGGGUAGAGCACUGUUUCGGCUAGGGGUCAUCCCGACUUACCAACCCGAUGCAAACUACGAAUACCGAAGAAUGUUAUCACGGGAGACACACGGCGGGUGCUAACGUCCGUCGUGAAGAGGGAAACAACCCAGACCGCCAGCUAAGGUCCCAAAGUCACAGUUAAGUGGGAAACGAUGUGGGAAGGCACAGACAGCCAGGAUGUUGGCUUAGAAGCAGCCAUCAUUUAAAGAAAGCGUAAUAGCUCACUGGUCGAGUCGGCCUGCGCGGAAGAUGUAACGGGGCUAAACUGUGCACCGAAGCUGCGGCAGCGACACUAUGUGUUGUUGGGUAGGGGAGCGUUCUGUAAGCCUGCGAAGGUGGCCUGUGAGGGUUGCUGGAGGUAUCAGAAGUGCGAAUGCUGACAUAAGUAACGAUAAUGCGGGUGAAAAGCCCGCACGCCGGAAGACCAAGGGUUCCUGUCCAACGUUAAUCGGGGCAGGGUGAGUCGACCCCUAAGGCGAGGCCGAAAGGCGUAGUCGAUGGGAAACAGGUUAAUAUUCCUGUACUUGGUGUUACUGCGAAGGGGGACGGAGAAGGCUAUGUUAGCCGGGCGACGGUUGUCCCGGUUUAAGCAUGUAGGCGGAGGUUCCAGGUAAAUCCGGUACCUUUUAACGCUGAGGUGUGAUGACGAGGCACUACGGUGCUGAAGUAACAAAUGCCCUGCUUCCAGGAAAAGCCUCUAAGCAUCAGGUAACAUUGAAUCGUACCCCAAACCGACACAGGUGGUCAGGUAGAGAAUACCAAGGCGCUUGAGAGAACUCGGGUGAAGGAACUAGGCAAAAUGGUGCCGUAACUUCGGGAGAAGGCACGCUGAUAUGUAGGUGAAGCCCCUGCGGGUGGAGCUGAAAUCAGUCGAAGAUACCAGCUGGCUGCAACUGUUUAUUAAAAACACAGCACUGUGCAAACACGAAAGUGGACGUAUACGGUGUGACGCCUGCCCGGUGCCGGAAGGUUAAUUGAUGGGGUUAUCCGUAAGGAGAAGCUCUUGAUCGAAGCCCCGGUAAACGGCGGCCGUAACUAUAACGGUCCUAAGGUAGCGAAAUUCCUUGUCGGGUAAGUUCCGACCUGCACGAAUGGCGUAAUGAUGGCCAGGCUGUCUCCACCCGAGACUCAGUGAAAUUGAACUCGCUGUGAAGAUGCAGUGUACCCGCGGCAAGACGGAAAGACCCCGUGAACCUUUACUAUAGCUUGACACUGAACAUUGAGCCUUGAUGUGUAGGAUAGGUGGGAGGCUUUGAAGCGUGGACGCCAGUCUGCGUGGAGCCAACCUUGAAAUACCACCCUUUAAUGUUUGAUGUUCUAACGUUGGCCCCUUAUCGGGGUUGCGGACAGUGUCUGGUGGGUAGUUUGACUGGGGCGGUCUCCUCCCAAAGAGUAACGGAGGAGCACGAAGGUUAGCUAAUCCUGGUCGGACAUCAGGAGGUUAGUGCAAUGGCAUAAGCUAGCUUGACUGCGAGCGUGACGGCGCGAGCAGGUGCGAAAGCAGGUCAUAGUGAUCCGGUGGUUCUGAAUGGAAGGGCCAUCGCUCAACGGAUAAAAGGUACUCCGGGGAUAACAGGCUGAUACCGCCCAAGAGUUCAUAUCGACGGCGGUGUUUGGCACCUCGAUGUCGGCUCAUCACAUCCUGGGGCUGAAGUAGGUCCCAAGGGUAUGGCUGUUCGCCAUUUAAAGUGGUACGCGAGCUGGGUUUAGAACGUCGUGAGACAGUUCGGUCCCUAUCUGCCGUGGGCGCUGGAGAAUUGAGGGGGCUGCUCCUAGUACGAGAGGACCGGAGUGGACGCAUCACUGGUGUUCGGGUUGUCAUGCCAAUGGCAUUGCCCGGUAGCUAAAUGCGGAAGAGAUAAGUGCUGAAAGCAUCUAAGCACGAAACUUGCCCCGAGAUGAGUUCUCCCUGAGACUUUAAGUCUCCUGAAGGAACGUUAAAGACGAUGACGUUGAUAGGUCGGGUGUGUAAGCGUAGCGAUACGUUGAGCUAACCGAUACUAAUGAACCGUGAGGCUUAACCUU
rnacentral:rRNA from 1 species